AUCACGCGCUCGUCACUGCCCACCACAGUCUCGCCGCCUUUCGGUCAAGCGGGGGACAAUCGCUUGGGCGAUCUUCAUACCCGUAGCAGGGCCGGUUCCGCCGCUCCGGUCUAUCCCAGCCCCCCAGCCCCCCGGGGUGGUGUGAACCGGUCACUGCUACGCUUCCAAAUUUUGAACUUCCAAGGCCGCGCAAGCGGCCUUUUUG
rnacentral:sRNA from 1 species